UAAAAUAAAAGUCAGACAUCCAUUCCUCAUAUCUCCUUGGCUACCCCUAUUUGUCAACUAAGAACGAGUCUCUUAAGAAAUACUAAAUUCUCAAAAUUAACAUCAAAUACUAUCAAACUAACCUUUUCUUUCCCUCAUCUCCCAUACUACUGAGACUUUCUUUCUCAAUCCAUCAAUGUCCCUUUCUACACACCCACUUCUCCUCAAGGUUUAGAAGUGUUUGCCCAGCCAGAUGUAACCAACUUCAUUUUGUCUAAAUAUCAUCAACAAGAAAAAUGUAAUGCAUAUUUAUCCAGGAACUUACACUGUCUUCUUCAGCUCCUGGGUGGCUCACAAGCUCUCCUGGGAUGUCUUCAUGCAUGCUGUCCUUGCCUGUCCACAUUCAUCAGAGAUAUGCAUCAGUGAUGCCUCUACCAGAACACAUUACCAUACUCAUAGUAUUUUUGUCAUGUGUCUGAAAUAUAAGGUGAAGAAAACACAGCAGAACUGAUAUAUUGAACAAUUGUGAAAGGUGAUGGUUGCUUUGGAACUUAAAGGAGAGUGCUGAUUUCUCUCUGGAGUUUCUGGAGAACAGGUACCCACAUGUUGUAACCCUAAUGGACAUGGGAACCAAUGACUGAGUCUUCCACGUUUUGUGAGGAAUCAGCAACUGUCCUAGUGUGGAUCUGAAAGAGGUCUUUGCACAUGGACCUGUCUGUGUUACUAUCUGUUUUAUAUUCAAUGGGAAAAAGUAAAUUACUUCACCUGACUUGCUGUUUCAAGAAUUCAUACUGUGAAUCAACCACUAGGAGGAGCUAUGAGAACUCAUUUGCAUGACUAACCCCUCUUCUGAGAGGUCCCUAGAGAUGAGAUACUGAGGCAUCCCAGAUAGAAGACCCUGGUCUAAGAAGAAGCUGUGCUGUGCCUACCAUAGUCUUAGACUCCUCUCAUCUUCAUGAUUCUAUCUUACUGUACAGGUUCCUUUUCUCAGUCUGUACUGAUACAACCACCCUCCAUCUCUGAGGCUCUUGAUUCAAUAGCCAGACUCACUUGUACUCUGAGGAGUGGCAUCAGUGUUGCUGGUAAAAACAUUUACUGGUACAAGCAGAUGCAGGGGAGCUCUCCUUGGUUUUUCCUGACUACUACUCAGACUCAAACAUGCAGCUGGGGCCUGGAGUCACCAAUAGAAUCUCUGGAUCCAAAGAUACCUCCCAAAAUGCUGCACAUUUGCACAUCUCUGAGCUACAAGCAGAGGAUGAGGCUGACUAUUACUGUGUCAUCUCGGAAAGUAAUGUUUCUCACAGUGAUAUAGGCAGAUGGGGAAGUAAGGCAUAAAUUCUCGCUUGUGAUAAAAAAUCAG